rnacentral:rRNA from 1 species
GAACGAACGCUGGCGGCGCGCCUAAUACAUGCAAGUCGAACGAGAAUGUGUAGCAAUACACAUGUACAGUGGCGAACGGGCGAGGACUACAUGGGUAACCUACCCUCGAGUGGGGAAUAACUAGCCGAAAGGUUAGCUAAUACCGCGUACGCUUCCGGGACUGCGGUUCCGGAAGGAAAGCGAUACCGUGGGUAUCGCGCUCUUGGAUGGGCUCAUGCCCUAUCAGCUUGUUGGUGAGGUAACGGCUCACCAAGGCUUCGACGGGUGGCUGAUCUGAGAGGAUGAUCAGCCACACUGGCACUGCGACACGGGCCAGACUCCUACGGGAGGCAGCAGUAAGGAAUAUUGCGCAAUGGGCGAAAGCCUGACGCAGCGACGCCGCGUGGGGGAUGAAGGUCUUCGGAUUGUAAACCCCUUUCGGGAGGGAAGAUGGGAUGGGGUAACCCAUUCGGACGGUACCUCCAGAAGCAGCCACGGCUAACUUCGUGCCAGCAGCCGCGGUAAUACGAAGGUGGCAAGCGUUGUUCGGAUUUACUGGGCGUACAGGGAGCGUAGGCGGUUGGGUAAGCCCUCCGUGAAAUCUCCAGGCUUAACCUGGAAAGUGCAGAGGGGACUGCUCAGCUAGAGGAUGGGAGAGGAGCGCGGAAUUCCCGGUGUAGCGGUGAAAUGCGUAGAGAUCGGGAGGAAGGCCGGUGGCGAAGGCGGCGCUCUGGAACAUUUCUGACGCUGAGGCUCGAAAGCGUGGGGAGCAAACAGGAUUAGAUACCCUGGUAGUCCACGCCUUAAACGAUGGAUACUAAGUGUCGGCGGGUUACCGCCGGUGCCGCAGCUAACGCAGUAAGUAUCCCGCCUGGGAAGUACGGCCCGCAGGGUUGAACUCAAAU